AUUGAACGCUGGCGGAAUGCUUUACACAUGCAAGUCGAACGGCAGCACGGGGCAACCUGGUGGCGAGUGGCGAACGGGUGAGUAAUACAUCGGAACGUGCCCAAUCGUGGGGGAUAACGUAGCGAAAGUUACGCUAAUACCGCAUACGAUCUACGGAUGAAAGCGGGGGAUCGCAAGACCUCGCGCGAAUGGAGCUGCCGAUGUCAGAGUAGGUAGUUGGUGGGGUAAAGGCUCACCAAGCCAACGAUCUGUAGCUGGUCUGAGAGGACGACCAGCCACACUGGGACUGAGACACGGCCCAGACUCCUACGGGAGGCAGCAGUGGGGAAUUUUGGACAAUGGGCGCAAGCCUGAUCCAGCCAUUCCGCGUGCAGGAUGAAGGCCUUCGGGUUGUAAACUGCUUUUGUACGGAACGAAAAGGCUCUGGUUAAUACCCGGGGCUCAUGACGGUACCGUAAGAAUAAGCACCGGCUAACUACGUGCCAGCAGCCGCCGUAAAAC
rnacentral:rRNA from 1 species